rnacentral:rRNA from 1 species
UGGGGAAUUUUGGACAAUGGGCGAAAGCCUGAUCCAGCAAUGCCGCGUGUGUGAAGAAGGCCUUCGGGUUGUAAAGCACUUUUGUCCGGAAAGAAAUCCUUGGCUCUAAUACAGUCGGGGGAUGACGGUACCGGAAGAAUAAGCACCGGCUAACUACGUGCCAGCAGCCGCGGUAAUACGUAGGGUGCAAGCGUUAAUCGGAAUUACUGGGCGUAAAGCGUGCGCAGGCGGUUUGCUAAGACCGAUGUGAAAUCCCCGGGCUCAACCUGGGAACUGCAUUGGUGACUGGCAGGCUAGAGUAUGGCAGAGGGGGGUAGAAUUCCACGUGUAGCAGUGAAAUGCGUAGAGAUGUGGAGGAAUACCGAUGGCGAAGGCAGCCCCCUGGGCCAAUACUGACGCUCAUGCACGAAAGCGUGGGGAGCAAAACAGGAUUAGAUACCCUGGUAGUCCGCGCCCUAAACGAUGUCAACUAGUUGUUGGGGAUUCAUUUCCUUAGUAACGUAGCUAACGCGUGAAGUUGACCGCCUGGGGAGUACGGUCGCAAGAUUAAAACUUAAAGGAAUUGACGGGGUCAUAGCUG